rnacentral:rRNA from 1 species
UACGGAGGGUGCAAGCGUUGCUCGGAAUUAUUGGGCGUAAAGGGUAGGUAGGUGGUCUUAUUUGUCUGGGGUGAAAUCCUUGAGCUUAACUCAAGAAGUGCCCCAGAAACGGUGAGACUAGAGUCCUGGAGAGGGUCGUGGAAUUCCCGGUGUAGCGGUGAAAUGCGUAGAGAUCGGGAGGAACACCAGAGGCGAAGGCGGCGACCUGGACAGGAACUGACACUCAAAUACGAAAGCGUGGGGAGCAAACAGG